rnacentral:rRNA from 1 species
UUUCCGGUUGAUCCUGCCGGACCUGACUGCUAUCGGAUUGAUACUAAGCCAUGCGAGUCUUUGUAGUAAUACAAGGCAGACGGCUCAGUAACACGUAGUCAACCUACCCUAUGGACAAGAAUAAUCUCGGGAAACUGGGCAUAAUUCUUGAUAGAUCAUAAUGCCUGGAAUGGUUUAUGGUUAAAAUGAUUCGUCGCCAUAGGAUGGGACUGCGGCCUAUCAGCUUGUUGGUGAGGUAAUGGCCCACCAAGGCGAUUACAGGUACGGGCUCUGAGAGGAGAAGCCCGGAGAUGGGUACUGAGACACGGACCCAGGCCCUAUGGGGCGCAGCAGGCGAGAAAACUUUGCAAUGUGCGAAAGCACGACAAGGUUAAUCCGAGUGAUUUCUGCUAAAGAAAUCUUUUGCCAGUCAUAAAACCACUGGUGAAUAAGGGGUGGGCAAGUUCUGGUGUCAGCCGCCGCGGUAAAACCAGCACCUCAAGUGGUCAGGAUGAUUAUUGGGCCUAAAGCAUCCGUAGCCGGCUUUGUAAGUUUUCGGUUAAAUCCAUGUGCUCAACGCAUGGGCUGCCGAAAAUACUGCAUGGCUAGGGAGUGGGAGAGGUAGACGGUACUCAGUAGGAAGGGGUAAAAUCCUUUGAUCUAUUGAUGACCACCUGUGGCGAAGGCGGUCUACCAGAACACGUUCGACGGUGAGGGAUGAAAGCUGGGGGAGCAAACCGGAUUAGAUACCCGGGUAGUCCCAGCUGUAAACGAUGCAGACUCGAUGAUGCAUUGGCAUAAUAGCCAGUGCAGUGUCGCAGGGAAGCCGUUAAGUCUGCCGCCUGGGAAGUACGUACGCAAGUAUGAAACUUAAAGGAAUUGGCGGGGGAGCACCACAAGGGGUGAAGCCUGCGGUUCAAUUGGAUUCAACGCCGGGA